AUGAGAGGAAAUGUGAGUUCACACUGGACUGUGCUGAGUUUGGAUGGAGGCGGUAACUGGAGACUGAGGUGUCAGAUUAGUGAGACUUCAGGAACCACUGCAGAGCCAUGCAAUGUAACCAGAGAAACCUUCAGAGCUCCAGCAGCUCAUUCAGUGCUGCCCUCUGCAGGACCAGAGUCACAUGUCUGUCUGUCUGUCUGCCUGCCUGCCUGCCUGCCUGCCUGUCUGUCUGUCCGUCCGUCCCUCUAUCUAUGUGUCUGUCUGUCUGUCUGUUCAUCCCUCUAUCUAUGUGUCUGUCUGUCUGUCUGUUUGUCUGUUCGUUCCUCUAUCUAUGUGUGUGUCUGUCUGACUGUCUGCCUGCCUGUCUGUCUGUCUCUCUAUCUAUGUGUGUGUCUGUCCGUCCCUCUAUCUAUGUGUCUGACUGCCUGCCUGCCUGCCUGUCCAUCCAUCCCUCUAUUUAUUUGUCUGUCUGUCCUUCUGUCUUUCUGUUCGUCCCUCUAUCUGUCUUUCUGUCCGUCUGUCUGCCUGCCUGUCUGUCCGUUCGUCCAUGUAUCUAUAUGUCUGUCUUCCUGUCUGUCUGUCGGCCUGCCUGUCUGUCUGUUCAUCCCUCUAUCUAUCUAUCUAUCUAUCUAUCUAUCUAUCUAUCUAUCUAUCUAUCUAUCUAUCUAUCUAUCUAUCUAUCUAUCUAUCUAUCUAUCUAUCUAUCUAUCUAUGUGUCUGUCUGCCUGCCUGCCUGCCUGUUCAUCCCUCUAUCUAUGUGUCUGUCUGUUCGUCCCUCUAUCUAUGUGUCUGUCUGUCUGUCUGUCUGUCUUUUCGUCCCUCUAUCUGUGUCUGUCAGUUCAUCCCUCUAUCUAUGUGUCUGUCUGUUCAUCCCUCUAUCUAUGUGUCUGUCUGUUCGUCCCUCUAUCUAUGUGUCUGUCUGUCUGUCUUUUUGUCCCUCUAUCUAUGUGUCUGUCUGUUCAUCCCUCUAUCUAUGUGUCUGUCUGUUCACCCCUCUAUCUAUGUGUCUGUCUGUCUGUCCGUCUAACUAUGUGUCUGACUGCCUGCCUGCCUGUCUGUCUGUCCUUCUGUCUUUCUGUUCGUCCCUCUAUCUGUCUUUCUGUCCGUCUGUCUGCCUGCCUGUCUGUCAGUUCGUCCAUCUAUCUAUAUGUCUGUCUUCCUGUCUGUCUGUCUGUCUGUCUGUCGGCCUGCCUGUCUGUCUGUUCAUCCCUCUAUCUAUCUAUCUAUCUAUCUAUCUAUCUAUCUAUCUAUCUAUCUAUCUAUCUAUCUACAAACCCGAUUCCAAAAAAGUUGGGACACUGUACAAAUUGUGAAUAA
ensembl:lncRNA